GGAAUCUUGCGCAAUGGGCGAAAGCCUGACGCAGCGACGCCGCGUGCGGGAUGAAGGCCUUCGGGUCGUAAACCGCUGUCGGGAGGGACGAAGCUCUGCCGGUACCUCCACAGGAAGCCCCGGCUACCUCCGUGCCAGUAGCCGCGGUAAUACGGAGGGUGCGAGCGUUGUCCGGAAUCACUGGGCGUAAAGGGCGCGUAGGCGGCGCGGUAAGUAGGGGGUGAAAUCCUGCGGCUCAACCGCAGCAUUGCCUUCUAGACUGCCGUGCUCGAGCACAGUAGAGGCAGACGGAAUUCCCGGUGUAGCGGUGGAAUGCGUAGAGAUCGGGAAGAACACCGGUGGCGAAGGCGGUCUGCUGGGCUGUUGCUGACGCUGAGGCGCGACAGCGUGGGGAGCAA
rnacentral:rRNA from 1 species